AGGGUGAGUAGACAAGCCUGGGAGAGCCACAGGAAGCAGCAGACGCCGGGGUGUGGCGGGGAGGGUCAACGAGAGAGUUGGUGGCAUCCCACCUCUGAGAGGACAACCUCAGCUCCUGAACUGGGUGGCUGUAGCAGCAUUUAACGAGGAACUGGAAGUCGAAGGGCUUGGUGCUGGAAGUGUGUAGGCUAAUCUGGUGAGGUUUGGGGCGAGUGAGGAGGGCAGGGUGGAGAUCCCAUUCUGAGGGCACUGACAUUCCCAGAGCCCCUCCCUCUGGCAAAUCACAUCCUUGGGGUCCGUUCCUUCCCCUGUGCAUGCCUUCCCCUGCUAAAGAUAUCACACCCAAGAUUGUGUACCCACCAGAAAUAAAAGGAAAUGCUACUUAAGACAGAAAUUUUAUUAGGUAAAAAUAAAGAACAAAAUCUUGAUACCAGUACCUUCAAAAAAUUUUUUUUUCAGAUUUUUGAGAGAGAGAGAGAGAGAGAGAGAGAGAGAGAGCAUGAAUGGGUGAGGGGCAGAGAAAGAGGGAGACAGAAUCUGAAGCAGAAUUCAGGCUCUGAGUCGUCUUUUUUUUUUUUUUACGAAAUAGAGUUUUUUACGAACUAGAAUUAAAAAGUUUUUUAUGAAAUAGAGUUAAAAAAAAUAUGUAACCUCCUUUCAACCUGCCCAAUCUAAGCACGGAUUAGCUUAGAAACAUGGAGUCAUUCGCUCUCUGAAAAUAAACAAACGUUAAAAAAAAAAAAUUCUUUAACAUUUAUAUUUGAGAGACACAGCGUGAGCAGGGGAGGGGCAGAGAGAGGGGGAGUGACAGAAAUCAGAAGCGGGCUCCAGGCUCCGAGCUGUCAGCACAGAGCCCGACGUGGGGCUCGAACCCACGAACCGCGAGAUUGUGACCUGAGCCGGCCGAAGUUGGAUGCUCAACCGACUGAGCCGCCCAGGCACCCCUUAAAAAUUUUUUUAAAAAGCAGGCCGGGGUCUAGGCCUCCAGCUGAAGCCCUGAGAUGGUCUCAUGCAGCUGCCGGGUACGGGUUCCUGGUCACCGAGCUGUUCACGCUCACAGAGCACUCAGUCACAAUGGCGCCCCGUUCUAGGUCCUGGGGACGUCGCAGUGACUUGGACCCGGUGCAGGCCAUGGCAGAAACAGUCAAACCCUCCUGGCUUCGGCACCCAGAAGGCGGCUGAGGAAUGUGAAUCAACCCGACACAGUAAGUGGAUCCUUCUGCCAAGAGUCCACAACUUGCGGGAAUCCCCAGUCCCCGCGGGACGUCCCCACAGGCAGUCUCUGAAGCUCCCGGUCCCUUGCAGGGAAACUCUCGACUGGCACGUAAAACUGACCUCCCUGAUGGAAAUGUUCUGUAGAAAUCAAUUCAGAGAACGCACACGACUUCACCUGGGACUCAAACAAUUCCUAAUAGGAUAGACCUGGGCAAGAAGACCACGUCCAGUCCAUCUGAAGUCCUGCUCGAAGGCAUAAUCCAAUGCCAAAACUUCACUUUAGUCGGAGGUCCCCACACGCCUGCCUAAGAUACCUUCGGCAACUAAGUUGUUUAUAAUGUUUUGCAAAUACAUUUGAAGCCCCAGUUUAUGGAGGGCAGCCAGGAGUUUAAAAGCAGAAGCGUCCUUGCCCAGCUUCUUCCUCCACGUAAAGAGCAUCUUAUGUCGCUGCUCCAUCAAAUUGCCUGGAUUCUCGCAUUCGCAAGAGUCAAUGUCCGUCUCGUCCAGACCAACUAACCUCAUGAACAUCUUCCAGUCGUUUCCCGUACUGCUCUUUACAAACUCGUAAUAGAUGCUA
rnacentral:lncRNA from 1 species